rnacentral:rRNA from 1 species
CCUACGGGAUGCAGCAGUGAGGAAUAUUGGUCAAUGGACGAGAGUCUGAACCAGCCAAGUAGCGUGAAGGCUGACUGCCCUAUGGGUUGUAAACUUCUUUUAUAUGGGAAUAAAAUGUUCCACGUGUGGGAUUUUGUAUGUACCAUAUGAAUAAGGAUCGGCUAACUCCGUGCCAGCAGCCGCGGUAAUACGGCGGAUCCGAGCGUUAUCCGGAUUUAUUGGGUUUAAAGGGAGCUUAGGUGGAUUUUUAAGUCAGUUGUGAAAGUUUGCGGCUCAACCGUAAAAUUGCAGUUGAAACUGGCAGUCUUGAGUACAGUAGAGGUGGGCGGAAUUCGUGGUGUAGCGGUGAAAUGCUUAGAUAUCACGAAGAACUCCGAUUGCGAAGGCAGUUCACUGGACUGCAACUGACACUGAGGCUCGAAAGUGUGGGUAUCAAACAGGAUUAGAUACCCGAGUAGUC